rnacentral:rRNA from 1 species
UACGGGGGGGGCAAGCGUUGUUCGGAAUUACUGGGCGUAAAGGGUUCGUAGGUGGCCAACUAAGUCAGACGUGAAAUCCCUCAGCUCAACUGGGGAACUGCGUCUGAUACUGGUCGGCUUGAGUGCAGGAGAGGAACGCGGAAUUCCAGGUGUAGCGGUGAAAUGCGUAGAUAUCUGGAGGAACACCGGUGGCGAAGGCGGCGUUCUGGACUGCAACUGACACUGAGGAACGAAAGCCAGGGGAGCGAACAGG